rnacentral:tRNA from 1 species
AAAAAUUUAGUUAAAUAAUAACGUUAGUUUGUCAAACUAAAAUUAUUACAAAGUAAUAAUUUUUA